ACCUACUGCUACGAUGAGUCCACUGCUCCUCCUGUGUGUCCUUGCAUUAUUCACUAAAGAGUCAAGAUGUCAGAUUUCUAUAAAUCAACCAUCAGCACCAAAGUCAGUUCCCUCUGGAGGGAGCGUCACUUUCACGUGCACCACUGGGAGUACCGUGUAUAGCUACAUGGCCUGGUACCAGCAGAGACAGGGAGCAAGUCCUAAACUCCUGAUCUAUGAUGCAAGCACCCGCUACUCUGAUACCCCAAGUCGCUUUAGUGGCAGUGGGUCAGGAACUUCGUUUAGCUUGACCAUCAGUGGUGUUCAGCCUGAAGAUGCUGGUUACUACUACUGUCAGCAUUAUUACACACACUACACAGUGACAGAGACUCGUACAAAAACCUCACUGAGCUGCUGUCAUGUCCGUAGAUGUGAAAAAGAAAUGCUGAGAUGA